CCUACGGGCGGCAGCAGUGGGGAAUAUUGCACAAUGGGCGCAAGCCUGAUGCAGCCAUGCCGCGUGUGUGAAGAAGGCCUUCGGGUUGUAAAGCACUUUCAGCGGGGAGGAAGGCGUUAAGGUUAAUAACCUUGGCGAUUGACGUUACCCGCAGAAGAAGCACCGGCUAACUCCGUGCCAGCAGCCGCGGUAAUACGGAGGGUGCAAGCGUUAAUCGGAAUUACUGGGCGUAAAGCGCACGCAGGCGGUCUGUCAAGUCGGAUGUGAAAUCCCCGGGCUCAACCUGGGAACUGCAUUCGAAACUGGCAGGCUAGAGUCUUGUAGAGGGGGGUAGAAUUCCAGGUGUAGCGGUGAAAUGCGUAGAGAUCUGGAGGAAUACCGGUGGCGAAGGCGGCCCCCUGGACAAAGACUGACGCUCAGGUGCGAGAGCGUGGGGAGCAAACAGGAUUAGAUACCCGAGUAGUC
rnacentral:rRNA from 1 species